rnacentral:rRNA from 1 species
GACGAACGCUGGCGGCGUGCCUAAUACAUGCAAGUAGAACGCACAGUUUAUACCGUAGCUUGCUACACCAUAGACUGUGAGUUGCGAACGGGUGAGUAACGCGUAGGUAACCUGCCUGGUAGCGGGGGAUAACUAUUGGAAACGAUAGCUAAUACCGCAUAAUAUUGAUUAUUGCAUGAUAAUUGAUUGAAAGAUGCUAUUGCAUCACUACCAGAUGGACCUGCGUUGUAUUAGCUAGUAGGUGAGGUAACGGCUCACCUAGGCGACGAUACAUAGCCGACCUGAGAGGGUGAUCGGCCACACUGGGACUGAGACACGGCCCAGACUCCUACGGGAGGCAGCAGUAGGGAAUCUUCGGCAAUGGACGAAAGUCUGACCGAGCAACGCCGCGUGAGUGAAGAAGGUUUUCGGAUCGUAAAGCUCUGUUGUAAGAGAAGAACGGGUGUGAGAGUGGAAAGUUCACACUGUGACGGUAGCUUUCCAGAAAGGGACGGCUAACUACGUG